UACAGGGGGUGCUAGCGUUGUUCGGAAUUACUGGGCGUAAAGGGCGCGUAGGCGGCUUCGUAAGUCAGAUGUGAAAUCCCCGGGCUUAACUCGGGACGUGCAUUUGAAACUGCGAGGCUAGAGUGCAGUAGAGGAUGGUAGAAUUCCCAGUGUAGAGGUGAAAUUCGUAGAUAUUGGGAGGAAUACCGGUGGCGAAGGCGGCCAUCUGGGCUGCAACUGACGCUGAGGCGCAAAAGCGUGGGGAUCAAACAGGAUUAGAUACCCUGGUAGUCCACGCCGUAAACGAUGGAUACUCGCUGUGGCUGGUAUUGACCCCGGCCGUAGCCAAGUUAACACGAUAAGUAUCCCGCCUGGGAAGUACGGUCGCAAGAUUAAA
rnacentral:rRNA from 1 species